AUCGCUUCUCGGCCUACUGGCUAAGAUCAAGUAGAAAUAACUGUUCUUUUGAGUUUAAUCGCUCAAACUCUGCCCACUGGGUGGAAAGACGAUUGCUCUAUUUCUUUUCACACUGAUAGUGCUCAAGGCUUGCUUUGACCUAUCGUGGGAUCACACCUGUAUUGCACUACAGCAGGGAGUGGUCCCUUUUUA
rnacentral:snRNA from 1 species